rnacentral:rRNA from 1 species
UACGUAGGGUGCAAGCGUUGUCCGGAAUUAUUGGGCGUAAAGAGCUCGUAGGCGGUCUGUCGCGUCGGCUGUGAAAACCUGAGGCUCAACCUCGGGCCUGCAGUCGAUACGGGCAGACUAGAGUUCGGUAGGGGAGACUGGAAUUCCUGGUGUAGCGGUGGAAUGCGCAGAUAUCAGGAGGAACACCGGUGGCGAAGGCGGGUCUCUGGACAGUUCCUGACGCUGAGGCACGAAGGUCAGGGGAGCAAACGGG